rnacentral:lncRNA from 1 species
CCUGCCUCUCCUGGCUCAUAGCAUUUGUUCCACUCUGCAUGUCUACACUGUUACCUUAUUUCUUUCCCCAAAUGUCUCCUAACAACAGUGUCUACUUCCCAACUCAACAACACCUGUCUGGGCUCUUCUUCUUAUGACCUUCAUGACUUUGGGCAAGUCACAUGCUUCACUUAUCUCCACUAUAAAAUAAGGCUGGAGGUUCCAGUCCCAUUCCCUGUUGUCAGCCAAAGUUCCAUUUCCUCCUGCAGUCCUUGCAGUGCAUACCACAUCUCUCUCGUCCACACUAAGAUGUUCUUAAAUUUGAUUCCUUCUAAUACAUUCAUGUUCAACUCUUCAUGA